UACGUAGGUGGCAAGCGUUACCCGGAUUUAUUGGGCGUAAAGGGAACGCGGGCGGUCUUUUAAGUCUGAUGUGAAAGCCUUCGGCUUAACCGGAGUAGUGCAUUGGAAACUGGGAGACUUGAGUGCAGAAGAGGAGAGUGGAACUCCAUGUGUAGCGGUGAAAUGCGUAGAUAUAUGGAAGAACACCAGUGGCGAAAGCGGCUCUCUGGUCUGUAACUGACGCUGAGGUUCGAAAGCGUGGGUAGCAAACAGG
rnacentral:rRNA from 1 species